AGUGAACGCUGGCGGUAGGCCUAACACAUGCAAGUCGAACGGCAGCACAGUAAGAGCUUGCUCUUACGGGUGGCGAGUGGCGGACGGGUGAGGAAUACAUCGGAAUCUACUUUUUCGUGGGGGAUAACGUAGGGAAACUUACGCUAAUACCGCAUACCACCUACGGGUGAAAGCAGGGGAUCUUCGGACCUUGCGCGAUUGAAUGAGCCGAUGUCGGAUUAGCUAGUUGGCGGGGUAAAGGCCCACCAAGGCGACGAUCCGUAGCUGGUCUGAGAGGAUGAUCAGCCACACUGGAACUGAGACACGGUCCAGACUCCUACGGGAGGCAGCAGUGGGGAAUAUUGGACAAUGGGCGCAAGCCUGAUCCAGCCAUACCGCGUGGGUGAAGAAGGCCUUCGGGUUGUAAAGCCCUUUUGUUGGGAAAGAAAAGCAGCAGGUUAAUACCCCGCCGUUCUGACGGUACCCAAAGAAUAAGCACCGGCUAACUUCGUG
rnacentral:rRNA from 1 species